CCUACGGGAGGCAGCAGUGGGGAAUUUUGGACAAUGGGCGCAAGCCUGAUCCAGCAAUGCCGCGUGAGUGAAGAAGGCCUUCGGGUUGUAAAGCUCUUUUGUCAGGGAAGAAACGGUGGGGGCUAAUAUCUCCUACUAAUGACGGUACCUGAAGAAUAAGCACCGGCUAACUACGUGCCAGCAGCCGCGGUAAUACGUAGGGUGCAAGCGUUAAUCGGAAUUACUGGGCGUAAAGCGUGCGCAGGCGGUUUUGUAAGUCUGUCGUGAAAGCCCCGGGCUCAACCUGGGAAUUGCGAUGGAGACUGCAAGGCUUGAAUCUGGCAGAGGGGGGUAGAAUUCCACGUGUAGCAGUGAAAUGCGUAGAGAUGUGGAGGAACACCGAUGGCGAAGGCAGCCCCCUGGGUCAAGAUUGACGCUCAUGCACGAAAGCGUGGGGAGCAAACAGGAUUAGAUACCCUGGUAGUCCACGCCCUAAACGACGUCUACUAGUUGUCGGGUUUUAAUUAACUUGGUAACGCAGCUAACGCGUGAAGUAGACCGCCUGGGGAGUACGGUCGCAAGNUUAAAACUCAAAGGAAUUGACGG
rnacentral:rRNA from 1 species